UACGGAGGGGGCUAGCGUUGUUCGGAAUUACUGGGCGUAAAGGGCGCGUAGGCGGCGUGACAAGUCACUUGUGAAAUCUCCGGGCUUAACCCGGAACGGUCAAGUGAUACUGUCGUGCUAGAGUACAGAAGGGGCAACUGGAAUUCUCGGUGUAGCGGUGAAAUGCGUAGAUAUCGAGAGGAACACCUGCGGCGAAGGCGGGUUGCUGGGCUGAUACUGACGCUGAGGCGCGAAAGCCAGGGGAGCGAACGGG
rnacentral:rRNA from 1 species